AACGAACGCUGGCGGCGUGGAUAAGACAUGCAAGUCGAACGGGAUUACUUUUGUAGCAAUACAGAAGUAAUUCAGUGGCGAACGGGUGCGUAACACGUGGGCAAUCUGCCGAGAAGUGGGGGAUAGCUCGCCGAAAGGCGAAUUAAUACCGCAUAUGAUCAGGGACGACAUCUUCCCAACAUCAAAGCCGGGGCAACCUGGCGCUUUUUGAGGAGCCCGCGGCCUAUCAGCUAGUUGGUGAGGUAACGGCCCACCAAGGCUAUGACGGGUAGCUGGUCUGAGAGGACGACCAGUCACACUGGAACUGAGACACGGUCCAGACACCUACGGGUGGCAGCAGUCGAGAAUUUUUCUCAAUGGGGGCAACCCUGAAGGAGCGACGCCGCGUGGAGGAUGAAGGCUUUCGGGUUGUAAACU
rnacentral:rRNA from 1 species